UUAACAUGCAAGUCGGACGGCAGCGGGGUAGUGCUUGCACUACUGCCGGCGAGUGGCGAACGGGUGAGUAAUAUAUUGGAACGUACCGAGUAAUGGGGGAUAACCAAUCGAAAGAUUGGCUAAUACCGCAUACGCUCUGAGGAGGAAAGCAGGGGACCUUCGGGCCUUGCGUUAUUCGAGCGGCCAAUAUCUGAUUAGCUAGUUGGUGGGGUAAAGGCCUACCAAGGCGACGAUCAGCAGCGGGUCUGAGAGGAUGAUCCGCCACACUGGGACUGAGACACGGCCCAGACUCCUACGGGAGGCAGCAGUGGGGAAUUUUGGACAAUGGGCGCAAGCCUGAUCCAGCCAUGCCGCGUGUCUGAAGAAGGCCUUCGGGUUGUAAAGGACUUUUGUUAGGGAAGAAAAAGGAGCGGUUAAUACCCGUUUCUGCUGACGGUACCUAAAGAAUAAGCACGGCUAACUAC
rnacentral:rRNA from 1 species